GGUAUAAUUGUUGGGUUGUAUGGUAAGGACCUGCUUUGUUUUAUAAGAAACAGCCAAACAUUUUUUCCAGAGUAGCUUUUCUAUUUUACAACCCACCAGCAAU
rnacentral:pre_miRNA from 1 species